rnacentral:misc_RNA from 1 species
CCGGGGAGCACUGCCAUACAU